rnacentral:rRNA from 1 species
AUGGCAUCUUUUUCUUCUUCUUCUUCUGGGUCAUCCACGGCGAACCAGAUAAUUCCACCAAUCAACAACGAUGACAGUGAGAUAGGAGCUACCGGCACGGCAGCGCCAACGCCUACCCUGAACAAGGUCAUGUCGAGCGUCGCGAACCUUGCACAGCUCCUGCCCACGGGCACGGUGCUGACGUACCAGGCGUUGGCCCCGUCAUUCACCAACUACGGCAAGUGCGAGGCCUCCAACCAGUGGCUCACCACAGCGCUGGUUGCUGUCCUCGCCUCCGCCUGCCUCUUCUUCUCCUUCACCGACAGCGUCGUGGGUCGCCAUGACGGAAAACUAUAUUACGGCUUCGCCACAUUGCGUGGCUUCAACGUGUUCAACUUCUCCAGCGAGGAGGAGAAGCAGGAGUGGAAUGAUCUCUACCAAUUCCGGAGGCUCCGCCUUCAGCCACUGGACUUUGUGCAUGCCUUCUUCACGGCAGUGGUUUUCCUCAUAAUGGCGUUCAGCGAUGUGGGGCUGCAAAACUGCUUCUUCCCGGAUGGCAGCAGGAACACACAACAGCUGCUCAAGAACCUGCCACUGGGAAUGGCGUUUCUGUCCAGCUUUGUGUUCAUCAUCUUCCCCACCAAAAGGAAGGGCAUCGGAUUCAAUAACACGGCUCCUCGCCAGAAGGUUGUCCAUCCCUUGAACAAAGUUUGA